UGGAGGCGUUAUGGUUGGAACCUACGUCACUGCCUAUAAAUUUGGCCAACUACUGAAUAUGGAGUCAGCAUAAUUUUGGGGAAAAUUAUUGGUAAUGAUGUAUGUAGAAAAUUCUUUAACACUGUCAUUUAUAAGUUGUGCUAUAAAGUCUGAGGGAAAUGAUCAGGACUGCAUUUUUUAAAGUUAGACAUUCGAGCAGAGGUCUCUUGAAAUAAUCCAGCUUUGGCACAUGAGUAUUUGAGCCACCUCUUCUGGGAGAUAAAUUGUGUCAGGGUUCUUUGUAGAAGCAAAGCCCAUUAGAAGGGUCUCUGGGCUUUGGAAGAGAGAAGGAGGCAGAGAUGUG
rnacentral:lncRNA from 1 species